rnacentral:lncRNA from 1 species
GCUUUUCACACCAGCUUUUUGGCCUCAAAGAAGCUCUUGAGGUGCUUCAUUUGCCAGAUGCCGGUGAUGAUGAGGAUGACGGUCUGAGCGAUGGACCACCACAAAACACGCUGGUUCGUGCUCUCGCUCGUCAUGCGGAAACGCUCCUCACGUCGUACCAGUUUUCCACCUGCAAACAGUGCCAUCUUGGUGGAGUUGGAGUGGAGGCAGAUUUGAUGCUCUCCUGGUGUGUGUGAGGUGAAGGUAAAACGACCAUCAGAGCCAUACUGACGGGACAGGAUAACCUGAAAUAAAAACAAAGCAAAAAC